rnacentral:rRNA from 1 species
UAGUGAACCAGUACCGUGAGGGAAAGGUGAAAAGAACCCCGGGAGGGGAGUGAAAUAGAACCUGAAACCGCAUGCAUACAAACAGUAGGAGCCUCAUCAGAGGUGACUGCGUACCUUUUGCAUAAUGGGUCAGCGACUUACAUUCUGUGGCGAGCUUAACCGAAUAGGGGAGGCGCAGCGAAAGCGAGUUCGAAAUGAGCGUUCAGUCGCAGGGUGUAGACCCGAAACCAGAUGAGCUAUCCAUGGCCAGGUUGAAGGUGUGGUAACACACACUGGAGGACCGAACCGACUAGUGUUGCAAAAUUAGCGGAUGAGCUGUGGAUAGGGGUGAAAGGCCAAACAAAUCUGGAGAUAGCUGGUUCUCCCCGAAAACUAUUGAGGUAGUGCCUCGUGUGUCGCUCCAGGGGGUAGAGCACUGUUUUGGCUAGGGGGACAUGGAGUCUUACCAAACCAAGGCAAACUCCGAAUACCUGGAAGCGUAAGCACGGGAGACAGAGCACCGGGUGCUAACGUCCGGACUCAAAAGGGAAACAACCCAGACCGCCGGCUAAGGUCCCAAAUAACAGCUAAGUGGAAAACGAAGUGGAAAGGCCGUGACAACCAGGAAGUUGGCUUAGAAGCAGCCAUCCUUCAAAGAAAGCGUAAUAGCUCACUGGUCGAGUCCUUCUGCGCGGAAGAUGUAACGGGGCUAAGCUGUUAACCGAAGCCGCGGAUGCGCUGGUUAUCCAGUGCGUGGUAGGGGAGCGUUCUGUAAGUCUGCGAAGGCGGUUCGAGAGGACUGCUGGAGAUAUCAGAAGUGCGAAUGCUGACAUGAGUAACGUUAAAGCAGGUGAAAAGCCUGCUCGCCGUAAGCCCAAGGAUUCCUGCUCUACGUUCAUCGGAGCAGGGUGAGUCGGCUCCUAAGGUCAGGCCGAAAGGCGUAGCCGAUGGGAAUCAGGUUAAUAUUCCUGAACCUGCGUCAGAUGCGAUGGGGGGACGGAGCAUGGAAGAUCAUCCGGGUGUUGGAAGUCCCGGUUGUUUAGCGUAGGAGGUCUGCAGGCAAAUCCGCAGACGCAUCUCCAAGGCAAAGACACGUGCCGCUACGGCGGCGAAGUGAUCGGAAGUGCUUCCAAGAAAAGCCUCUAAGCACCAGUCUGAUGCGGACCGUACCGCAAACCGACACUGGUGGGCGAGCUGAAUAUGCUCAGGCGCUUGAGAGAACUCGGGAGAAGGAACUCGGCAAAUUGACACCGUAACUUCGGAAGAAGGUGUGCCGUAGUACCGUGAGAGGAGAGACACCUUGAGCGGGAAACGGUCUCAGAGAAUAGGUGGCUGCGACUGUUUAUUAAAAACACAGCACUCUGCAAAGUCGAAAGACGACGUAUAGGGUGUGAUGCCUGCCCGGUGCUGGAAGAUUAAUUGAUGGGGUGAGAGCCCUUGAUCGAAGUCCCAGUAAACGGCGGCCGUAACUAUAACGGUCCUAAGGUAGCGAAAUUCCUUGUCGGGUAAGUUCCGACCUGCACGAAUGGCAUAACGAUGGCCACACUGUCUCCUCCCGAGACUCAGUGAAGUUGAAAUGUUUGUGAUGAUGCAAUCUACCCGCGGCUAGACGGAAAGACCCCAUGAACCUUUACUGCAGCUUUGCAUUGAACUGUGAACCGAUUUGUGUAGGAUAGGUGGGAGGCAGAGAAGAGGCCACGCCAGUGGUCUUGGAGCCGACCUUGAAAUACCACCCUGAUUUGUUUGCGGUUCUAACCACGGACAGUGAUCCUGUCUUGGGACCGUGCAUGGUAGGCAGUUUGACUGGGGCGGUCUCCUCCUAAAGGGUAACGGAGGAGUACGAAGGUACGCUAGGUACGGUCGGAAAUCGUGCUGAUAGUGCAAUGGCAAAAGCGUGCUUGACUGCGAGAGCAACAACUCGAGCAGAUGCGAAAGCAGGUCAUAGUGAUCCGGUGGCUCUGAAUGGAAGGGCCAUCGCUCAACGGAUAAAAGGUACUCUGGGGAUAACAGGCUGAUACCGCCCAAGAGUUCAUAUCGACGGCGGUGUUUGGCACCUCGAUGUCGGCUCAUCUCAUCCUGGGGCUGUAGUCGGUCCCAAGGGUAUGGCUGUUCGCCAUUUAAAGAGGUACGUGAGCUGGGUUUAAAACGUCGUGAGACAGUUUGGUCCCUAUCUGCCGUGGGCGUUGGAAGAUUGACGGGGGCUGCUCCUAGUACGAGAGGACCGGAGUGGACGCACCUCUGGUGUACCGGUUGUCACGCCAGUGGCAUUGCCGGGUAGCUAAGUGCGGAAGAGAUAACCGCUGAAAGCAUCUAAGCGGGAAACUUGCCUGAAGAUGAGUCUUCCCGGAGGUUGAACCUCCCUCAAGAGUCGUCCGAGACCAGGACGUCGAUAGGUCAGGUGUGUAAGCGCUGUAAGGCGUUGAGCUAACUGAUACUAAUUGCUCGUGAGGCUUGAUC